GACGAACGCUGGCGGCGUGCUUAACACAUGCAAGUCGAACGGUAAGGCCCUUCGGGGUACACGAGUGGCGAACGGGUGAGUAACACGUGGGUGAUCUGCCCUGCACUUCGGGAUAAGCCUGGGAAACUGGGUCUAAUACCGGAUAGGACCCUGGGAUGCAUGUCCUGGGGUGGAAAGCUUUUGCGGUGUGGGAUGGGCCCGCGGCCUAUCAGCUUGUUGGUGGGGUGAUGGCCUACCAAGGCGACGACGGGUAGCCGGCCUGAGAGGGUGACCGGCCACACUGGGACUGAGAUACGGCCCAGACUCCUACGGGAGGCAGCAGUGGGGAAUAUUGCUCAAUGGGCGCAAGCCUGAUGCAGCGACGCCGCGUGAGGGAUGACGGCCUUCGGGUUGUAAGCCUCUUUCAGCACCGACGAAGCGCAAGUGACGGUAGGUGCAGAAGAAGGACCGGCCAACUACGUGCCAGCAGCCGCCGUAA
rnacentral:rRNA from 1 species